GAUUAGAGUUUGAUCCUGGCUCAGGAUUAAUGCUAGCGGCGUGCCUUAUGCAUGCAAGUCGAACGGUUCUGAUUUAUCAGGAUAGUGGCAAACGGGUGAGUAAUACGUAAGUAACCUGCCCUAAAGUAAGGAAUAAUCCUUCGAAAGAAAGACUAAUACCAUAUGUGGUGCCCCUUCGUAUGGAGGGUCACUAAAGCCGUAAGGCGCUUUUGGAGGGGCUUGCGUCCGAUUAGCUAGUUGGUGGGGUAACGGCCUACCAAGGCGAUGAUCGGUUGCUGGUUUGAGAGAAUGACCAGCCACACUGGGACUGAGACACGGCCCAGACUCCUACGGGAGGCAGCAGCAAGGAAUAUUGCGCAAUGGGCGAAAGCCUGACGCAGCGACGCCGCGUGAGGGAAGAAGGCCUUCGGGUCGUAAACCUCUUUUCUAGGGGAAGAAUAAUGACGGUACCCAGGGAAUAAGUCACGGCUAACUACGUGCCAGCAGCCGCGGUAAUACGUAGGCGGCGAGCAUUAUCCGGAUUUAUUGGGCGUAAAGCGAGUGUAGGUGGUUCUUCAAGUCGGAUGUGAAAUUUCCCGGCUCAACCGGGAAGGGUCAUUCGAAACUGUUGGACUUGAGGGCAGUAGAGGGAGGUGGAAUUCCCGGUGUAGUGGUGAAAUGCGUAGAUAUCGGGAGGAACACCAGUGGCGAAAGCGGCCUCCUGGACUGCUCCUGACACUGAGGCUCUAAAGCGUGGGUAGCAAACAGAAUUAGAUACUCUGGUAGUCCACGCCCUAAACGAUGGAUACUAGGUAUGGGGGGUAUCGACCCCCUCCGUGCCAAAGUUAACACAUUAAGUAUCCCGCCUGGGGAGUACGGUCGCAAGACUAAAACUCAAAGGAAUUGACGGGGGCCCGCACAAGCAGCGGAGCGUGUGGUUUAAUUCGAUGCAACACGAAGAACCUCACCCAGGCUUGACAUACAAGAAGUAGUGAACCGAAAGGGGAACGAACUGUUAAGUCAGUCGCUUGAACAGGUGCUGCAUGGUUGUCGUCAGCUCGUGCCGUGAGGUGUUGGGUUAAGUCCCGCAACGAGCGCAACCCUCGUUGCCAGUUGUUUUCUCUGGCGAGACUGCCCCGCAAGACGGGGAGGAAGGUGGGGAUGACGUCAAAUCAGCACGGCCCUUAUGCCUGGGGCUACACACACGCUACAAUGGCGGUACAAUAGGUUGCAAUGGGGUGACUCGGAGCUAAUCCUAAAAACCGUCCCCAGUUCAGAUUGUAGGCUGAAACCCGCCUGCAUGAAGUCGGAGUUGCUAGUAAACGCAUAUCAGCAUGGUGCGUUGAAUACGUUCUCGGGCCUUGUACACACCGCCCGUCACGUCAUGAAAGCCGGUAACACCUGAAGUCGAUGGGCUAACUCGCAAGAGAGGCAGUCGCCGAAGGUGGGACUGGUAAUUGGGACGAAGUCGUAACAAGGUAACCAUCUCUAGAGGUCCCCGGU
rnacentral:rRNA from 1 species